GGCCAAAGGACCAUAAACCAGGGGCGAGGCGCUGUCAGAGUCUGAUCCUGAGAUCCGUGGACUUUGCACUGCACUUAACUGAAGGAAUCUGACCUCAAACAAAACAGAGUUUCACUAUGGGUGUGGAGAUGCUCUCUGUGUUUUUACUCAUGCAGACUCACUUUUGCUGGGGUCAGGACACACUGGUCGUUCCCUCUCAGCCAAUCAUAGCGCCCGUUGGCAGUGAUGUCACUCUGCCCUGUCAGUUGGACCCUGUUAAAGACCUCAGGGACAUGGUGGUGGAGUGGUCACGGCACGACCUGACGCCGCGCUACAUCCACAUCCGCCGGGACGGUCUGGACUUCCUCAUAGACCAGAACUCCCUGUACCUGGGCCGCACCUCUGUGUCCGAGAGCCG
ensembl:lncRNA